rnacentral:rRNA from 1 species
AUUGAACGCUGGCGGCAGGCCUAACACAUGCAAGUCGAACGGUAACAGGAAGAAGCUUGCUUCUUUGCUGACGAGUGGCGGACGGGUGAGUAAUGUCUGGGAAACUGCCUGAUGGAGGGGGAUAACUACUGGAAACGGUAGCUAAUACCGCAUAAUGUCGCAAGACCAAAGAGGGGGACCUUCGGGCCUCUUGCCAUCGGAUGUGCCCAGAUGGGAUUCGCUAGUAGGUGGGGUAACGGCUCACCUAGGCGACGAGCCCUAGCUGGUCUGAGAGGAUGACCAGCCACACUGGAACUGAGACACGGUCCAGACUCCUACGGGAGGCAGCAGUGGGGAAUAUUGCACAAUGGGCGCAAGCCUGAUGCAGCUAUGCCGCGUGUAUGAAGAAGGCCUUCGGGUUGUAAAGUACUUUCAGCGGGGAGGAAGGGAGUAAAGUUAAUACCUUGGCUCAUUGACGUUACCCGCAGAAGAAGCACCGGCUAACUCCGUG